GGUACCAUGGUCUAGUGAUCUAAGGCAGUGGAUUAAGGCACCAGGUUGUUUGGGGGCAUAGGUUUGAAUCCCACUGCUGCCA
rnacentral:tRNA from 1 species